rnacentral:rRNA from 1 species
UACGUAGGAGACGAGCGUUGUCCGGAAUCACUGGGCGUAAAGCGCGUGUAGGCGGGUCCGCAAGUCUGCUGUGAAAACUCCUGGCUUAACCGGGAGAGGUCGGUGGAAACUGCGAACCUGGAGGACGGUAGAGGCUGGUGGAAUUCCCGGUGUAGUGGUGAAAUGCGUAGAGAUCGGGAGGAACACCUGUGGCGAAGGCGGCCAGCUGGGCCGGACCUGACGCUGAGACGCGAAGGCGUGGGGAGCAAACGGG